UUAGUUAUUUAUGCCACAUUUACUUCAUUCACUUCAGGCAGCGACUCUAACGCCUGCUGUCAGGCUUGGCUGGCCAUGAGGGCCAAGUAUGCGAGAGAAUCGAAGAAACAAAGAGGCCGGAGCGGUGCUGGCCGCGAUGGUCUUGCCGUGCCAACAUGGCACCUCUUCAAGUAACUGGCCUUCCUUAAGGGCCAGAUUCAGCACCGACGCACCAAAGUGCUCCCUGUUGCGGGGGGAGUGGCGUCCACUUCUGCAGCGGCAGCAGACGUUGAAAAAUGAGGCUUGAGCCCAGAGGCAAGUUUGCUUACACGCUACCGGUCUUUAUUCGGAGUGCAGACAAGCUGGCUAAGUUGACGUCAACCAGUUGGUGGCCAAAAUUACCUUCAGGGCUCCUAUUUUGGUCAUGGGCUUGGAGGUGAUCGAAUGUCACAGAAUGUGGAAGGCCAUCCGCAACCGCUAUGUUAAGAGACGAGAGCGGCGAAAGGCAAGAGUAAAGCUGGCGAGGAGGAUGUCCAGCCUCCCACGUGGGUUCUUUUCAAGUUCCUGGGGUUCCCCGAUGGUCAAAUCUGUGCAGAUGGUAGGCACAGAAUGUUUUGGACAACAAAGGGCACUGCAGAUUGUGCCGUAUUUUGUAUGCAUUGUAACGAUGACGUGGCAGAACCCUGGUUUGUCCCAAGACAAAAGGAGCCUCACACAACACCAUGUCUACAAACUGGAGUGAAGGAGCCCCCACUUCCGUGCCAGGAGAGAUCCUUGCGGAAAUGUAUUGCCCUGGAGAGACCGCAACCCCCGCAGAAAAUAGACAGCCUGGGAUGCCUGCUGAUGCCGAGAUGGAAGACAUACUGUAGCAUGAAGACAUACAUUUUAUUUAACAACUGCCUUCGAUAAGCAUGUUUGCAAGUGGCUCCUGUGUAAUUACCCUUUUCUCACUCUCCUCUUUCAUUUAAGCGAUUGGCUAUUCUUGGAGGCAGGUCCAAA